GAUCUGUUUAUAUCAGCAGAAUAAUCAUACAGUUGUGACUGCGGUAAAGUCCCAUGCCGAACAUAACACAUCAGGGGAUGUCCACUGCUAUUGAUGGCCCCAUUAGAACGCUGUAAUUGAGUGGACGUGAUAUUUAAUGCUGUGAUUAUUAUCUCCUCGGCAAUACUCACUACAUCCAAUGAGUAGACUUUUGACCCAGCGACGUCAAGACAGCUGUUCUCGGUGCCUCCACAGGUAGUCAUAUUGGCUGCAGUUUUAUAAGAUUUAAGG
rnacentral:misc_RNA from 1 species